GACUCACAUUAAUGUUUACCAGCUUCUCAGAACACUUGAAGAAAGAUAACUGCUAAGACAGACUUUUCCUGGCCUGUCUUACUGCUAGUCGGGCCUCUCCAGCCUCUAGGCACCAAAAGGAGACUCCUGCAAUAUGGACCCCUUCUGAGGAUUCCAGGCAUCACCAGUGAUCUGAGGACAGCACUCAGCCAACACUUCUCAGAGGAUACUUGUUGGAAAGUGACCAAGGAGGGCGGGAAAGGGAAAUAGCUGUCACGAAGCCUGGGAAAAGGCUGGAGACCUGCUCUCACCACCUGGAC